rnacentral:pre_miRNA from 1 species
AAUGUAACUGCUGGGUUGUAUGGUGAGAAUGUGUUUAACUUUGUUAAGAAUUGUGAAAUUGUUCUUCCAAAUUAGUUGCACUAUUUGGCAUUCCCAAAGCAAU